rnacentral:rRNA from 1 species
UUGGAGGGCAAGUCUGGUGCCAGCAGCCGCGGUAAUUCCAGCUCCAAUAGCGUAUAUUAAAGUUGUUGCAGUUAAAAAGCUCGUAGUUGAAUUUCGGAAUCAAUAUGUUGGUCGUGCCAUUGGUACGUACUGGCAUUAUUGGUUUCUACCUUCUGAAGAACCUCGAUGUCAUUAAUUUGGUGUCUUGGGGAAUCAGGACUGUUACUUUGAAAAAAUUAGAGUGUUUAAAGCAGGCUCGCGCUUGAAUACAUUAGCAUGGAAUAAUGAAAUAGGACGUUUGAUUCUAUUUUGUUGGUUUCUAGGAUCGACGUAAUGAUUAAUAGGGAUAGUUGGGGGCAUUAGUAUUCAAUUGUCAGAGGUGAAAUUCUUGGAUUUAUUGAAGACUAACUACUGCGAAAGCAUUUGCCAAGGAUGUUUUCAUUAAUCAAGAACGAAAGUUAGGGGAUCGAAGACGAUCAGAUACCGUCGUAGUCUUAACCAUAAACUAUGCCGACUAGGGAUCGGAUGAUGUUAAUUUUUUAAUGACUCAUUCGGCGCCUUACGGGAAAC